UGCCCAGCAACUCCUGUCCCUACCUCCUCGCGGUACUGGCCGGGGUACGAGUAACCUUAGGGAAGAUCGGGUAACCUCUCGCCGUAUGCUGACAGGGAACG
rnacentral:ribozyme from 1 species